AUACCUUUCUCGGCCUUUUGGCUAAGAUCAAGUGUAGUAUCUGUUCUUAUCAGUUUAAUAUCUGAUAUGUGGGCCAUGCGUCCACACGAUAUUAAAUUACUUUUUUGAGGGGGAGGGCCCACCAAUGUAGCUUGCUACAUGGGCUCUCUUGGGUCGCCUAAGCGUUGCACUAUAGCUUGGGCCAGGCCCACCCCAC